rnacentral:rRNA from 1 species
AGCGGCGGACGGGUUAGUAACGCGUGGGAAUAUGCCCUUCACUACGGAAUAGCCUCGGGAAACUGAGAGUAAUACCGUAUACGCCCUUUUGGGGAAAGAUUUAUCGGUGAAGGAUUAGCCCGCGUCUGAUUAGAUAGUUGGUGGGGUAAUGGCCUACCAAGUCGACGAUCAGUAGCUGGUUUGAGAGGAUGAUCAGCAACACUGGGACUGAGACACGGCCCAGACUCCUACGGGAGGCAGCAGUGGGGAAUCUUAGACAAUGGGCGCAAGCCUGAUCUAGCCAUGCCGCGUGAGUGACGAAGGCCUUAGGGUCGUAAAGCUCUUUCGCCAGGGAUGAUAAUGACAGUACCUGGUAAAGAAACCCCGGCUAACUCCGUGCCAGCAGCCGCGGUAAUACGGAGGGGGUUAGCGUUGUUCGGAAUUACUGGGCGUAAAGCGCGCGUAGGCGGAUUGGAAAGUUGGGGGUGAAAUCCCGGGGCUCAACCCCGGAACUGCCUCCAAAACUAUCAGUCUAGAGUUCGAGAGAGGUGAGUGGAAUUCCGAGUGUAGAGGUGAAAUUCGUAGAUAUUCGGAGGAACACCAGUGGCGAAGGCGGCUCACUGGCUCGAUACUGACGCUGAGGUGCGAAAGUGUGGGGAGCAAACAGGAUUAGAUACCCUGGUAGUCCACACCGUAAACGAUGAAUGCCAGACGUCAGGGGGUUUUACCCUUUGGUGUCACACCUAACGGAUUAAGCAUUCCGCCUGGGGAGUACGGUCGCAAGAUUAAAACUCAAAU